rnacentral:rRNA from 1 species
CAAAGGAAUUGACGGGACCCGCACAAGCAGCGGAGCGUGUGGUUUAAUUCGAUGCUACACGAAGAACCUUACCAGGGUUUGACAUGCAAGUGGUAGGAAUCUGAAAAGGGACCGACCCUUCGGGGAGCUUGCACAGGUGCUGCAUGGCUGUCGUCAGCUCGUGUCGUGAGGUGUUCGGUUAAGUCCGCUAACGAGCGCAACCCUCACUGUGUGUUAUAUGUGUCACACGGGACUGCCGGUUUUAAGUCGGAGGAAGGUGGGGAUGACGUCAAAUCAUCAUGCCCCUUAUGACCUGGGCUACACACGUGCUACAAUGGGCGGUACAAAGGGUCGCGAACCCGCGAGGGGGAGCCAAUCCCAAAAAGCCGCUCUCAGUUCGGAUUGCAGGCUGCAACUCGCCUGCAUGAAGCCGGAAUCGCUAGUAAUCGCGGAUCAGCAUGCCGCGGUGAAUACGUUCCCGGGCCUU